AACUUUUGGCAAUGGAUCACUUGGCUCUCGCAUCGAUGAAGAACGCAGCGAAAUGCGAUAAGUACUGUGAAUUGCAGAUUUUCAGUGAUUCAUCGAAUCUUUGAACUCACCUUGCGCUCCUUUGUAUUCCGUGGAGCAUGCCUGUUUGAGUGUCAUUAAAUUCUCAACCUUUAUUAGCUUUUGCUGGUAAAUGGCUUGGAUGUGGGGGCUUACUGGCUUUGGUCAGCUCCCCUUAAUUGCAUUAGCCGGUGCCCUGUGUGGACUGUCUAUUGGUGUGAUAAUUAUCUACGCCAUGGGAUGUCUGCAAUGGUUUUGCGCUGCUUCUAACCGUCUGUUCAUUCGGACAAUUUCAAUGACAAUUUGACCUCAAAUCAGGUAGGACUACCCGCUGAACUUAAGCAUAUCAAUAAGCGGAGGCU
rnacentral:misc_RNA from 1 species